CCUACGGGAGGCUGCAGUGAGGAAUCUUGGUCAAUGGGCGCGAGCCUGAACCAGCCAAGUCGCGUGAAGGAUGACUGCCCUACGGGUUGUAAACUUCUUUUUUAAAGGAGUAAAGUGAUGCGCGUGUACCGUUUUGUAUGUACUUUAUGAUAAAGCAUCGGCUACCGCCGUGCCAGCAGCCGCGGUAAUACGGAGGAGUCGGGCGUGAUCCGGAUUUAUUGGGUUUAAAGGUUGCGUAGGCGGAAUGCCAAGUCAGCGGUAAAAUCGCGGGGCUCAACCUUGCUCCGCAGUUGAAACUGGCGUUCUUGAGUGGGCGAGAAGUAUGCGGAAUGCGGGGUGUAGCGGUGAAAUGCAUAGAUAUAACGCAGAACUCCGAUGGCGAAGGCAGCACACCGGCGCCCAACUGACGCUGAAGCACGAAAGCGUGGGGAGCGAACAGGAUUAGAUACCCUGGUAGUC
rnacentral:rRNA from 1 species